rnacentral:lncRNA from 1 species
UACAGAAUAUAUACAUAUGUAUAUAAAGCAUUCAGUACAUUUUCUUUGCUCCUUAAACUCAAAUAGCAAGGUGAAGUGAAGAGGCUUUUUAGAGCUGCACAGAAGAGAAACAUUCCAAAGGUUCACAACUUGAAACAGCAUACCAUAAUUUGGACUGAGACAACCAGACCAUAGAAACAUUUAGGAAACUAAGAAUAUGGUUCCUGCAUUCAAAUGUUGACUACAUUAUGGAUAUGAUGUGGUGUCCAAAGCACAAAAUGAAUUAGUGGUCACUGGGGUAAUUGUUUAAGUAAAUAAAUAAGAUUUUUUUUCUCUGCUAAAAUGUGAAUGAAAAUAACAUUCUAGGAGAUAAAAAAUUUAAAUAAUAUUAAAUCAUAAUUUAAUUGAAAUAAUAUUCUAGAAGUUAAAAAAUUCUUUAAAACCCUUUUUUAUUGUCUAGUUAUUGACAGAUCCCUCUAUCGUUUUCAACUUAACAGAGAAAUGGAAACGCUGGGAGGUUUGUCCAAGGUCACAGAUCAAGUGAUCUAUACAUAGCCAACCAACCACAGGGCACCCAAAAUGUUCUUACUCAAAAGACUUAAUAGCUUCUACCAAAAAUAACUGCUUCAGUCAAAGAGAGAAGGAUAAUUGCUACUUCCACAGACAACAUAAGAAACCAGACUCAUUUCAGCCCAGAAAGCAACAUUAAAUGACCACCCACACACCCCAUCACAUAUUUAUCUCCUCCAGCUGCAAGACCCUCUUCUCUUCGGCUUCUCACUGACCUAGAAAGAACUAAUGAAUAAGGUCUAAAACAGAUGCAAAGGCAGUCCACAUAAGAAGUAUACUGCUGCGGGUAGAAAUUACUUCAUCAGAUUUUUUUUGCUACUACCUCAAAGACCUAAAGCAGCACCUCAAAGAAACGAGAAAUUUCAUGAGUAAGGGAAGGAAAGGAACCGGGAGAUCAGAAAACACCAGGAUGAAAGGCUGUGUGAAUAUGGGCAAGAGCCGUGACCUUUCCAAGCCCCAGUUACUCUUUGAAAGGUGGAGAUAAAUAAAAUUAUCUAAUUGAAUGCGUUGUUGGAGAAUUAAAUAAUAUAAUGCAUACUGGUCCACCUCAGUGUAGUGAACAUUCACUGAAUGUUAAAUUGUUGAACAUUUAAAUGUUAAAAUGUUGAAUUGUUCUUGAUCUUAGGAUUGUCAAUGAUAAUUGAUCAGGCAGGAGUAAAGGAUUAAUUCCAGUGGGUAUUUUCACCUGAGGUUGCAAGGAUUUCUUUCCUCAAUGUAAGUUUUUAUCAUCAGUACCAAUAUCUACACAUGUAUCUUUCCACCUGUUACCAACUGGCCCUUCAAAUAUACUUACCAAACUGUUUAAGGAUGUGAAUGACUUCAGUUGAGAAUAUCAUUGGGAUUUAAUGUGCUUUGAAAAUGGAAACUUUCACACUCAGUGAUUAAAAAUUUGGCACUUAAUGUAAUCAACUGGGAAUGUUAACAGUCAGCAUUAAAACACACAAUACCUAUCCUGGAGCUUCUAUAAGGCACAGCUAACAAUAAUCACCAGCCUUGCAGUUCGUAUCAGGAAAUACUGUGUAAGCACAGCUACACUUCAUUAAUGCAGAAGAACUAAACUGUUUUCAGCUAGAGGGAACGUGUAAUGCAACAUAAGUAAGUAAGUGGAGAUUGAUCCACCUACACCUACACACUUUAAUGGACAUUAUUACAGCUUUGAAAUUCCAUGAAGGAGUGUUUAUUAGCAAGAUCAAGCUAAUUGAGGGCAGUGAUUCUCAAGCUCCUAUGGCAUAAGGAUCAACAUGACGACCUUAAUAAAAGUAUCUUAUCGCAAAUCUCUCC